CAAGAUAUAGCUUACUAGUAAAGUAUUUCAUUUACACUGAAAAUUAUUCUGUGCAAAUCAGGAUAUCUUGA
rnacentral:tRNA from 1 species